AGCUUGCACAGGUGCUGCAUGGCUGUCGUCAGCUCGUGUCGUGAGAUGUUCGGUUAAGUCCGCUAACGAGCGCAACCCUCGCUGUGUGUUAUAUGUGUCACACGGGACUGCCGGUCUUAAGCCGGAGGAAGGUGGGAUGAUGUCAAGUCAGCAUGGCCUUUAUAUCCUGGGCUACACACACGCUACAAUGGCCAACACAAUAGGUUGCUAAGCCGCGAGGUGGCGCCAAUCCAUAAAGUUGGUCUCAGUUCAGAUUGUAGGCUGCAACCCGCCUGCAUGAAGUCGGAGUUGCUAGUAACCGCGCGUCAGCCAUAGUGCGGUGAAUACGUUCCCGGGCCUU
rnacentral:rRNA from 1 species